UUCGAUGGUAGGAUAGAGGCCUACCAUGGUAUCAACGGGUAACGGGGAAUUAGGGUUCGACUCCGGAGAGGGAGCCUGAGAAACGGCUACCACAUCCAAGGAAGGCAGCAGGCGCGCAAAUUACCCAAUCCCGACACGGGGAGGUAGUGACAAUAAAUACUGAUACAGGGCUCUUUUGGGUCUUGUAAUUGGAAUGAGUACAAUUUAAAUCCCUUAACGAGGAACAAUUGGAGGGCAAGUCUGGUGCCAGCAGCCGCGGUAAUUCCAGCUCCAAUAGCGUAUAUUAAAGUUGUUGCAGUUAAAAAGCUCGUAGUUGAACCUAGGGCCUGGCUGGCCGGUCCGCCUCACCGCGUGUACUAGUCCGGCCGGGCCUUUCCUUCUGGGGAACCUCAUGCCCUUCACUGGGCGUGUUGGGGAUCCAGGACUUUUACUUUGGA
rnacentral:rRNA from 1 species